rnacentral:sRNA from 2 species
GGCAAUAAAACGUUGAGUUCUGCUUGCAAGCAGAAACGGGGGACCCAUUUUUCCGGGGCGAAUCACCACCAAGGUGAGGGAAACCUUUCGUUCCCAGCCCGUCAGCUAACCUCGUAAACGCCGAAGGGAAGUCCU